GCCCAUGUAGCUCAACGGCCAGAGCCUCCUUUGAUUCUGGUUUGGUUGAAAAAUUCUACACGGAAGACGUGAGUUCGACUCCCACCGAGGGCA